rnacentral:rRNA from 1 species
UUUCUUAACCUAGCCACCGAAUACAUUAGCAUGGGAUAAUGGAAUAGGACCCUGACCUCCUAUUUUCAGUUGGUUUUGUUUACAGCGAGGUUAUAUCAGGGUAAUGAUUAAUAGGGAUAGUUGGGGGCAUUAAUAUUUAAUUGUCAGAGGUGAAAUUCUUGGAUUUAUGAAAGAUUAACUUCUGCGAAAGCGUUUGCCAAGGAUGUUUUCAUUAAUCAAGAACGAAAGUUAGGGGAUCGAAGACGAUCAGAUACCGUCGUAGUCUUAACCAUAAACGAUGCCGACCAGCGAUUAGGAGACGUUGAAUACAAAACACCGCUGUUAAUCCUUUCGGGGGUUAAUAGUUGGUGAAUGACUCCCUAGCAGCUUGUGAGAAA